rnacentral:rRNA from 1 species
AAUGAACGUUGGCGGCGUGGAUUAGGCAUGCGAGUCGAGCGAGAACCCAGCAAUGGGGGACAGCGGCGAAAGGGACAGUAAUGUGUAGAUUAUCUGCCCUCGGGUCCGGGAUAGCUGCGGGAAACUGCAGGUAAUACCGGGAUAACAUCUCCGGAUCAAAGGUGUGAUUCGCCCGAGGAUGAGUCUGCAUCCUAUUAGCUUGUUGGUGGGGUAAUGGCUACCAAGGCUUUGAUGGGUAGCGGGUGUGAGAGCACGACCCGCGUCAUUGGGACUGAGACACUGCCCAGACACCUACGGGUGGCUGCAGUCGAGGAAU